AACAGGAGUUAGUAUGUAGUCUUUUACCAUAUAUUGAUAUUCGGAGUUCGCUGAUAACACCUUUAUUUUUUACCAGGGGGUGUUUCAAUAGUACCUCUCCAUAUACAU